AGCGAACGCUGGCGGCAGGCCUAACACAUGCAAGUCGAACGAAGUCUUCGGACUUAGUGGCGGACGGGUGAGUAACACGUGGGAACGUGCCUUUAGGUUCGGAAUAACUCAGGGAAACUUGUGCUAAUACCGAAUGUGCCCUUCGGGGGAAAGAUUUAUCGCCUUUAGAGCGGCCCGCGUCUGAUUAGCUAGUUGGUGAGGUAAAGGCUCACCAAGGCGACGAUCAGUAGCUGGUCUGAGAGGAUGAUCAGCCACAUUGGGACUGAGACGCGGCCGAAACUCCUACGGGAGGCAGCAGUGGGAAAUCUUGCGAAAUGGGCGAAAGCCUGACGCAGCCAUGCCGCGUGAAUGAUGAAGGUCUUAGGAUUGUAAAAUUCUUUCACCGGGGACGAUAAUGACGGUACCCGGAGAAGAAGCCCCGGCUAACUUCGUGCCAGCAGCCGCCGUAACAC
rnacentral:rRNA from 1 species